CAGAGCCUUUCUGCUGUUAGCUGUGUGAAGCCUGUCUGCCUGGACAGGGAAAGCAGGAGCCAGAAAUGACUUCCCUGCACAUAUCCUGGUGUAAGAUCUGUGCCAAGGCACCUAAUUAACUACUGCAAGGGAUGGACUUGAAGAAUGGACACAGGAACAUACCCCAUUCUGACAGACGAGCUGAAGAACAAUCAGAUGCUGCAGAGUACAAGUUUAAUACACACAACAACAGUUCUUGUCAGGUGGAAAAUGUUUGUGCAGUAACCCCUUGCCUGUUUGUCUUCAUAAACAACGAGCUCUUAAGAGGGUCAAACUGCAGGCAGAGCCGAUGCAGCUCGGGGAAGCCAACUUCCAAACAGCACUGUCAGACACUUUUGCAGAGUGCCCCUGUUUCCUUAGGAAUCUGCAGAAAACAAGCUACUUUUCAGAGCUCUAUUGCAAGUCAGACAAUUUGAGCAUUGAAAUCUUGCUGGGCUGCUCCUCUCCUGCCUGCAGCUGCCCUGGGCCCAUGCUGCUUGCUGGGGGCCUGAGGGCUCAGCCAGCACCCAGCACGGGGAAGCACGAGGGAGAAGUACGAGCAGAAGCAUGGCCCAGGGGGGCUGCCCCAGGGAAGAACAAAUGGUGAGGGCUUGGAAGCAGCCAAGCAGAAUGAAGGCACAAGUUUGUCCUCAAUGGAAAAUGUGGUUUAAUUGGAAUGAGUUUUUUCUGUGUAGGAUAAUAUUGAUUUGAAAGUGAUGGAACAAACAGAAAUAUUUCCGUUCACACUGACGUUUAUUUGGACAUUUCAUUUCAGAUGUUGAAGUGUUUCUUUCCUAAUUAGCAUUUUUAGUUGUGCCACUUUAAAUUGAUUUCUUAAAUUGUGUGUGUUACAUUUUAUCUACUGGCUUUCUAUUCCUUUUGGAAUGAAAGCAGACCUUGGAACAUCAGAAUUUCCUUCUGACAAGCUCUGCUUUUUCAAUUUAAUACAUUAAGAAUUUUCAUUUCUUGUAUGGUAAAUCUUAUUUAAUUGUUUAUUUUCUUUUUA